GACGGAGGGUGCAAGCGUUUUUCGGAAUCACUGGGCGUAAAGCGCGUGUAGGCGGUCCGAUAAGUCGAGUGUGAAAGCCCGAGGCUCAACCUCGGAAGUGCAUUCGAAACUGUCGGGCUUGAGUACGGGAGAGGGAAGUGGAAUUCCUGGUGUAGAGGUGAAAUUCGUAGAUAUCAGGAGGAACACCGGUGGCGAAGGCGGCUUCCUGGACCGAUACUGACGCUGAGAAGCGAAAGCGUGGGGAGCAAACAGG
rnacentral:rRNA from 1 species